GAUUGAUAUGUAUGCAAAAUGCGGAAAUGUUGGGAGCGCGAGGUGGGUUUUUGAGAGAAUGGGAGAGAGAGAUCUUUUGUCAUGGAAUUCGAUGAUGUCGGGCUAUGUGUAUAAUGGGUUGCUAGAUUCGGCUGUGGAGCUUUUAGGUUUCUUGAGAUUGAAUAGUUUUGAGCCUGAUGUUGUUACUUUGAAUACUUUAAUAGAUGCCUAUUGUAGAAUGGGCCUCUUUGAUGAAGCUUGGGGAGUGUUUAAACAGAUUGAAUAUCCCAAUAUCAUCUCGUGGACCACUUUGAUCUCAGGUUAUUCUAAGAUUGGAGAGCAUGAAAUAUCAUUACGGGUAUUCAGAGAUAUGGUUACUAGAGGAAUGGUCUCCCCUGAUUUAGAUUGUCUUUCUUGCGUCCUUGUCUCCUGCCGUCACCUUGGUGCUAUGAGGAGAGGGAAAGAACUUCAUGGUUAUGGGAUGAAAAUGGAAACUACAACUGCAAUUUAUGGUUCGGCUGGUGCUGCUUUGCUCAUAAUGUAUGCUAAAUGCAGGAGAAUUCAGGAUGCUAGAAAUGUAUUUGAACUGAUGGACAAAUCUGAUGUUGUUACUUGGAAUGCCAUGAUUCUUGGUUUUGUUGAACUAGAGUUGGGGCAAUUAGCACUUGAAUGUUUUAUUGAAAUGCAAAGAUUGGGUCUUAAGAAUGAUGAGACAACAAUAUCUACUAUUUUGCCUGUGUGUAGUUUGAAAUAUGGGAAUCAAAUUCAUGCUUACAUUAUGAAAAACCGCUAUCUCAAUUCAGUUGUUCCAGUUUGGAAUGCAGUGAUUCACAUGUACUGCAAAUGUGGAAGCAUUAGAUCUGCAUACUCUGUAUUUUCUGGCAUGGCCUUCAGAGACAUAGUUUCAUGGAACACAAUGAUUGGAGGAUUUGGCAUGCAUGGACAUGGCCAGGCUGCACUUGAACUUCAACAAGAAAUGAAUCAGUCAAGCCUUUGUCCUAAUUCUAUGACUUUCACUUCUUUACUAUCAGCUUGUAGUCAUUCUGGUCUAGUGGAUGAGGGGCUUAAACUCUUCCAGAGAAUGACUGAAGACUAUGCGUUAACCCCAAGAAUGGAACACUAUUCUUGUAUCGUUGACAUGCUAGCACGCGCAGGUCAGUUUGCUGAUGCUGUGACAUUUAUUCACAAAAUGCCUGUAGAGCCUGACAAGUCUAUUUGGGGAGCUUUACUAGCUGCCUGUCGGGAUUAUCAAAAUGUCGAAGUUGGGAAGCUGGCUGCUGAAAAUUUAAUCCACUUGGAACCUGAACAAGCAGGACACUAUGUAACAUUGUCAAAUAUAUAUGCAAGAGCUGGAAGAUGGGAUGAUGCUGUAAGGGUGAGAAAACAAAUGGAAAGCAGAGGACUUGUCAAGGCAUCAGGUCAAAGUUGGAUUGAAACUGUAAAUAUGGAAAUUGCAAAUCACAACUUUCAAUGAUUUUCUAAAGCAGUAAUACCAUAUGGCUCGUUUGAGGGCCAGCUUCAAAUCAGGUGAGAAUGUGUAUUCCAAAUUAAGUCUUCAUAGGAAGACUUGCAGGUUUUGGAAGAGCAUAUGGAAAUCAAGUCUUCCUAAGAGGAUGUCAAUUUUCUUAUAGAGACUUUUAAAGGAAUUUCUUCAUUGCAGUGAGCUUGUAAAUAAGAGAAUGCCCCGCAUUCCAAAAGAGUGUGACUCAUCGGACAAGUUGAAUCCCUUAGAGUUUAGACACAUUUGCGGACACAUUUUCUUCACCUGUCCUAGAGGCUAGAGCUUUGGAGGUUGGGCUACAUUUUCCUUUAUUCCUGCGUUCCACUUAAGUACAGAGUCUGAGCAUGCAAGAUAUACGGGAAGAAAUAACUUUACAGCUGCUUCAGCAGGAUCGGGGGUAAGAAUUCAUUGUUUUACUUGUUUUCCUGCGAUGGCACAUUUGGGAGAGGCGGAACCAGCUUUCUUUUAAUCAUUAUUCAACUCCAUUCCAAGGGACAAUAGCUACAGCUAUCAACUAUUGUGAGGAAUUCAAGCAUAGUGCGGAUGGAAAUGCAGGAGGUAUAAUGGCCUUUUUGAUGCCCUGACUCUUGAAUCUCUUGCAUGCCGAGAGGCAAUCCUACUUGCGGCAAAGAAGGGUUUUCAUCAGAUAAUUCUUGAAGGGGAUUGUCAAACAGUGAUCAGAGUUCUUCAGGGUGAUUCGGCUCGGCUGGAAGUCCAGGAUGUCAUCAAUGAUGUCAAACUCAUUGCUGCAUCUCGACAAUAUAUCCUUCUCCUUCGUAUAGAGAAGGAAGUAGAGCCCAUAGUCUAGCAUCUAAGGUUAUUAAGGAACUCAAGACACAAAUAUAUGAGGCUCAUACGUUUAAUAGUUUAAUAGGUGAAUAUUUAAUAUGCAUAGUGUGAUAUAAUGGGCCUUAUAACCAUGAGUUUAGGAGCAUGGAUUCUUUGU
rnacentral:misc_RNA from 1 species